rnacentral:rRNA from 1 species
UACGGAGGAUGCGAGCGUUAUCCGGAUUCAUUGGGUUUAAAGGGUGCGCAGGCGGCGUGUCAAGUCAGCGGUAAAAUGUCGGGGCUCAACCCCGGCCGGCCGUUGAAACUGGCGUGCUCGAGUUGGAGAGAAGUAUGCGGAAUUCGUGGUGUAGCGGUGAAAUGCAUAGAUAUCACGAAGAACCCCGAUUGCGAAGGCAGCAUACCGGCUCCACACUGACGCUGAGGCACGAAAGCGUGGGUAUCGAACAGG